UUUUGUAUUUUAGAUUCUAAAUAUCAAUGGGCAACGAUUUAAAAUCCUCGAUUGUUUAUGGAAUACGAAGAAUAAUAGGACAGGAUUGAAUGACAAUCGCGACAAUCGCGAUUUCAAAUUGUUGACUUCGAUUAUUGAUUUCGAUUGUCGAUUUUGAGCACGAAUUUCCGCGUUCUUCCGGCUGGCAACAAAGAGGUGCACACUUUCCGUCACGGUCAUAAACGGAACACAAUGAAAGAUUAACCAGCUUGCUGAAAAUUUUUCUCGUGAGAUGCCGGAGACAGAAUACUGAUUUAUUUGAAGAUGGUGAGAGAUUGCCGGUUACAACCGAAGAGAUAAACAGCGAUAAGAUACAACAUAUCAUUUGUCAAACGAGACGUUGUCCUGUUCUCUGGGUACACGUCUUGCCUCUGACAAUCUUGCUACGUGCUUUGAAAUGUAUUUUCAAUGCAUUCACUACCGAACGUGUUGAAAUAUACACUUGUAGAUAUAGGAAUAACCAAAAAUAUUAUAACAGUGAGCAUCAGAUUUUGAUUAAACGACUUUCGAAAUGGUCCAAGAUUCCAAUGAGGAAAAAACAGAUAUUUACUAUUGAAAACUCGAUUGUAUCCGUUACGAUUUUCCUUCUGUGUAUGAAAAAGAUGAAUAGACAAACUGUUAUCACUUUGGCAAUGCGUAAGUACUUGUGCCGUAACAUGUACCGUAUUCAACCGGAUGUCAUGAUGUGGUUUGCCUUAUUGUAAGGUAUAUUAACGUUCAUGCGGACGUUGCUACCAAAUCGGACGAGCGAUGUUAACCGAGCCGAAUUAUGCGACAGCAUGCAGUUGCAACAUGAAGUUAUAUACUAAAGAAUUAUCUUGCAUCUGAAAUGCUAUGUAUAUUAUAUGUAUAUUUGGUGAAUUUUAAUUUUGUCUUUUUUUUUUUUUACGAAAAAACAAUUUAUAUAAUGUAACUUUAAAUUGAGUUUAUGAUGCUAUAAACAUCUUCUGUUUAAGGAAAUUUAGCAUAUUCAUUUCAGUUUUAAUUUUUUAUUUCAAAUUUAAUUCAGAUUGUAGUUAUAAAAAUGGCUAUAAAAGAAAUUAAUAAAUAAAUUAAAGAGAAACUAAGAAUUUCUAGCGAAUCGUUAAAAUUUACACUUUCAUAAGAAUAUCAUAGAAUGGAUAAAUAAAUGUUUAUAAUUAUACUAAUGCUUGUGACCCAAAUGUCAGAAUAAGGAGAAAUCUAUCAGCAACUUGUACAGUUUAAUUUGUAGUCAUCCGGGAAAUGGAAAUACAAAUUCAGAUCUCGAUCUAGCAAUUGAAAUCCCGUUCUUUCUCGAUAUGCUAUGUAUGCUAUGUAACUAUAAACAACAGUUACUUGUAAUAUUGUCACAUGUAUAGAUCAGAAUAGAUAUUUUACAAAUCGAAGAUCAAAGAUCUACAUUAUCAAUUAGUCUUUUUACUAAUUAUUUUUUUAUUCAUAUUGCAUAUUACAUAUAACUGUAACUGAAAACCACUUUGUAUAUUAGGUUAACCGUUCAGAGUAGUCUUAUUGCAAAUAGAAUAUCUAAAUAUAGAACGUGAACUUUCCUUGCUUUCAA